CAGAUACAGUGAUGAUGGCAUAGUUCAGCAGAAUAUCCUGUGAUGAAUACUUCUGUUUUCGCCCCUAUCUGAUGUAUCUG
ensembl:snoRNA